rnacentral:misc_RNA from 1 species
CCAAGUCCAAUUUCAGUUUUAGAACCCCCAUUUGAAGAGGAUGACAACACGAUUCCAGAGCUUUCUGGAAAUAUCAGGCCAAACUGCCGGGGAGCAGAGGUGCCUCUUAAGUCCAAUUUGAUUGACAAAUCACCACGUAUAGAAUCAAUUGCGAGGACUAUGUCAUGGGAUGAUUCUUGUUUAGAGACAGCUACACCAUAUUCAUUAAAACCCUCUUCAAUCUCUUCCUAUGCUGAGGAAGAAGAACAGGAGGACUGGCCUGCCUUAAUCCAAACACUGUUAUCAGCAGCUGGCCUUGAUGGCAACAUGCAAUUAGAUUCAUUUUUUGCCAGAUGGCAUUCACAUGAUAGCCCAUUAGAUCAAGCAUUGAGAAACAAAUAUGCUAACCUAAAUGACAAAGAACUGCUGCAUGAGGCGAAGCGAAGGCAAAGGAGAUCAAAUAGGAAACUUGUAUUUGACUGUGUCAAUGCAGCACUCAUGGAAAUCACUGAAUGUGGGUCGGACAUGAGCACAAGGGGCAUGCCUUGUACUGGGGCUCAUGCCAGGUUUGUACAGGGGGCUUCACCCAUGCUGGUGGAGCACUUGUGGGCCCAAAUGAAGGAAUGGUUUUGUGGUGAAGUGAGGUGUACUUUUGAGGACAGUGGGGACAGCUCCAGGCUGGUGUUGGAGCGGGUGGUGAGAAAGGAGGUGGUGGGGAAAGGGUGGUCUGAUAA